CCUACGGGAGGCAGCAGUCGAGAAUCAUUCACAAUGGGGGAAACCCUGAUGGUGCGACGCCGCGUGGGGGAAUGAAGGUCUUCGGAUUGUAAACCCCUGUCAUGUGGGAGCAAAUUAAAAAGAUAGUACCACAAGAGGAAGAGACGGCUAACUCUGUGCCAGCAGCCGCGGUAAUACAGAGGUCUCAAGCGUUGUUCGGAAUCACUGGGCGUAAAGCGUGCGUAGGCUGUUUCGUAAGUCGUGUGUGAAAGGCGCGGGCUCAACCCGCGGACGGCACAUGAUACUGCGAGACUAGAGUAAUGGAGGGGGAACCGGAAUUCUCGGUGUAGCAGUGAAAUGCGUAGAUAUCGAGAGGAACACUCGUGGCGAAGGCGGGUUCCUAGACAUUAACUGACGCUGAGGCACGAAGGCCAGGGGAGCGAAAGGGAUUAGAUACCCUUGUAGUC
rnacentral:rRNA from 1 species